rnacentral:rRNA from 1 species
UACGGAGGGUGCAAGCGUUAUCCGGAUUCACUGGGUUUAAAGAGCUCGUAGGCGGUUUGGCAAGUCGGGUGUGAAAUUUCGAGGCUCAACCUCGAAACGCCACUCGAUACUGCCAUGACUGGAGUCCGGUAGAGGAGUGCGGAAUUCCUGGUGUAGCGGUGAAAUGCGCAGAUAUCAGGAGGAACACCAACGGCGAAGGCAGCACUCUGGGCCGGUACUGACGCUGAGGAGCGAAAGCGUGGGGAGCAAACAGG